ACACAGACCGGAAGUAAAAACACAAGACACACAAGGGAAGAAGAAUACUACCAAAAUAAAACAGGAAGUGAUAACACCAAAACUACCACACUGCUAUUAUUAUUGAGUCAUAUCGUCAUUUAUUGCUUUGUGUAUGUGGGAGUGGGUGAGUGGGAGUAAUUGUUCUAUUGUUUAAUUGUGUGAAGCACUUUGUGCUACAUCUUGUUUGUAUGAAAAGUGCUAUACAAAUAAAGUUUGAUUGAUUGAUUAAUUGAUUGAACAGUUUAGGAAUGGUUUAAGCUAAUAUCAGCAGUUGUUUAGAUUGAAGACAGCCAGUAAGGGUAUCUAGCUUAUGUCAGGGAUACGCCAGGCUCCACACUCACCCAGACACAGCAUCACCUCACCACCAGUAUAAAGACUCCCACUCACCUCAGUCAGUGUCUGGUCUCGUUUAUACAAGGACUCAGUUUUCCUGCAGAACCAAACUACGUUGGACUCCCCGCUUGUACCUAUGUUAUCUACUUCUCCUGUACUCCCGUCUCCAAGACCUGUGUCGCCAGUACUCCAGUGUGCGACUACUGUUUGCCUCAUUGCUUUGUUGAGAAAUAAACAUCUCUUUCUCCACCUCGGUGUCUCGAGCCUGUCUGUCUGUAACAGAAGACCGGACCACGGAAGGCCGACCAGCAUGAGCGUCCCGGAUCCAUUUUGGGAGGCCGGCGGACUCCCUGAGUCAACACAGCAGCGCUCCGCCACCAGCCUCUCCACCAGUCUUCACUUCCGCCUCCAACACCAGCGCUUCACCGCCUAUAGGAUACGUCAUUGCAGCGACGCCUCCUUCUCCCUUCUCUGGCUCGGUGAGGGAGUGUGAAAGCUUUCUUGUGCAGUGCAACCUGGCCUUGGAGAGGCAGCCAUACCUAUACCCAACCAAGUGGUCCAAAAUAGCGUACAUCAUCUUUCAGCUCUAGGGGCGUACGCUACAAUGGGCAACAACUCUCUGGACCCAGAAUGGACCGGUAAUCCAAUCCUUAUCCAGCUUCCUGUCCCACUUCAAGGAGGUGUUCGGAGGAACAGCAGAUGGCACCUCCGCAGGGGAACGCCUCUACCACCUUUGGCAGGGUUCCUGCGCGGUGACGGACUAUGCCUUAAACUUCAGAACCCUCGCCGCGGCUAGUCGGUGGAGUGAGCAGGCCCUGAUCACUGCCUACCGUCAGGGAUUGGAUCCCCAGGUAAAACUGCAUCUCGCUGCGUACGAUGACAACAUCGGACUUGAGCAAUUCAUCCAGUUAUCUAGGAACCAGUUCCAACCAGUUCCCACAGUUCCAUGUUUUUGGCCAAGUAUGCCCAGAACUCACUCCGUCAACCUGCCACCGGACUCACUCCCUUCCAAUGCGGGCACGGCUACCCCCUCUCUUCCCGUGGUCGGGAGAACCAUCAGAGGUCCCAGCGGUCGACUACUGGUUCCGAGAGAGCGAGAGGGUCUCGCAGCCCAUCACCAGCUGCAAAGAGCGCUCUGCAGAAUGACAGCCGACCGGAGACGAUCCACCGCUCCUGAAUACCAACCUGGUCAGAAGGUCUGGCUGUCGACCCGAGACAUCAAGAUGCGCCUGCCCUGCAGAAAGCUCAGUCCCAGGUUCAUUGGUCCCUUCACCAUCACCAAGAAGAUCAACCAGAGCCUGGCGUAGCAGCAGAGCCCCCCCUGCCUCUCAUCCUGGACGACGGAACGGCAACAGCUUGGAGCAUAUUUUCAUUGUAUAACACAAGUUAAUCAGUAUCAUAAAUUAAUCAGCAUCAUAGCUAUAAUGUCAUAUGACAUUGUAUCUAUCAACAUUACCUAGCAAGGGCGUAGAAUUUGGUAGGGACAUGUCCCUACCAAUAUCCAGCGAUUACUGAAUUGUCCCUAGCAAUAAUUUGGAUCAAAAAAUUUAAAUAUUACCACUGUUGUCCGAUAGUGUCUAGUUAAUGUAUUUGACCUGAGACCCCCCCCCCGAGAGUGGAACAGUGGUAGGUCCCUCAUUUGUUACUGAGGACGUGAGACAAGGUGAGCUCAUUAAGUGGCUACUAAAAGUUAUUUCAAGCAAUCAUUUGACAUUGGAGCGCUAUUUAGCCCCUUUGUAUGAUGUCUAAUUAGUCUCAAAACCCGUGCACAUAAAAACCAGGCGCAAGCACGUGAUACGAGCGCACAGAACAGUAUCCGCGAGUGGAAAACCAUCCUCACAAGGGAGCAUUUCUGCUCCACGUGCAAAAAUGCGACCUGGGCUGUGACGAGCGCUCGCUCAACCCUCCCUAUGCUCUCGCAACUGCUCAACACUGGCUCACUUGGCAAGUUGACUUUGGAGGCGGAGACUCAACUUUCGUCUGAUUGGCUGGUGGGGGCAGCUUGUCUCGCCUAUCGUCACCUGCAUUCGAGGAUUACAGCCGGUCAUGGCCACGCACAGAUCCCGCUGAUGUUGAUGUCUCAUGUAGUGAUCCUGUGGUCAUCCUACUCCCUGGCUGUGCAGCUGACCCCUGCAGAUCCUCUCAUCUCAGGACAUCCUUCAACACUCCUCUGCAACAAUCACUCAGCAUUUACAGCUGUCUUUAUAAACAUGUUUCAGUACAAGUUUGUCCAUCAUUUAGCCAGUAACUAAUGUAUUGUAGUUACAAACAGCUGCAAAGUUGACACAUUCUAUGUCUUUUAUAGUGUUAGGCAGACACAUCCUUUGAUUUUGUACAUGUUUUUGGUAAAUAAAAAAACAAAUGGAAUGAUGC